GCUCAAUACCAGUGGUGAGGGAGAGCUUGCUUUUUAUAGUCCAGUGAGAGUUUGUAACCUGCCUCGGGUUACGAGUGGCUUGAAGAAAAAUUUGGAUGGUACUCGUGCUACUUGAGAUUCAUGGGAAGGAUGGAGCUUCGAUUUUGUAAGCCCAAAGGUACUCGUGCUACCUAAAUGUUUUUAUUUUCCUGUUUUGGUUGUCGGUUUGAUUU
rnacentral:misc_RNA from 1 species